AAUACAACUAUUGCCAAGACAA
rnacentral:miRNA from 1 species